rnacentral:rRNA from 1 species
UACGGGGGGGGUAAGCGUUGUUCGGAAUUACUGGGCGUAAAGGGCUCGUAGGCGGCCAACUAAGUCGGACGUGAAAUCCCUCAGCUUAACUGGGGAACUGCGUCUGAUACUGGAUGGCUUGGAUUUGGGAGAGGGAUGCGGAAUUCCAGGUGUAGCGGUGAAAUGCGUAGAUAUCUGGAGGAACACCGGUGGCGAAGGCGGCAUCCUGGACCAACAUUGACGCUGAACAGCGAAAGCCAGGGGAGCAAACGGG